GUCGAGAAUCUUUCACAAUGGGGGCAACCCUGAUGGAGCGACGCCGCGUGGAGGAUAAGGUCUUCGGAUUGUAAACUCCUGUCAUGCGUGAACAAGGUUGCUUGGUUAAUACCUGGGCAAAUUGAUGGUAACGCAAGAGGAAGAGACGGCUAACUCUGUGCCAGCAGCCGCGGUAAUACAGAGGUCUCAAGCGUUGUUCGGAAUCACUGGGCGUAAAGGGUGCGUAGGUGGCGUGGUAAGUCAGAUGUGAAAGCCCGGGGCUCAACCUCGGAACUGCAUCCGAUGCUGCCAUGCUAGAGUACUGGAGAGGUGACUAGAAUUCUCGGUGUAGCAGUGAAAUGCGUAGAUAUCGAGAGGAAUACCAAAGGCGUAGGCAGGUCACUGGACAGUUACUGACACUGAGGCACGAAGGCCAGGGGAGCGAACGGGAUUAGAUACCCGAGUAGUCC
rnacentral:rRNA from 1 species